rnacentral:rRNA from 1 species
AUUGAACGCUGGCGGCAGGCUUAACACAUGCAAGUCGAGCGGAGAUGAGGUGCUUGCACCUUAUCUUAGCGGCGGACGGGUGAGUAAUGCUUAGGAAUCUGCCUAUUAGUGGGGGACAACAUUCCGAAAGGAAUGCUAAUACCGCAUACGUCCUACGGGAGAAAGCAGGGGAUCUUCGGACCUUGCGCUAAUAGAUGAGCCUAAGUCGGAGUAGCUAGUUGGUGGGGUAAAGGCCUACCAAGGCGACGAUCUGUAGCGGGUCUGGGAGGAUGAUCGGCCACACUGGGAGUGAGACACGGCCCAGACUCCUACGGGAGGCAGCAGUGGGGAAUAUUGGACAAUGGGGGGAACCCUGAUCCAGCCAUGCCGCGUGUGUGAAGAAGGCCUUAUGGUUGUAAAGCACUUUAAGCGAGGAGGAGGCUACUGAGACUAAUACUCUUGGAUAGUGGACGUUACUCGCAGAAUAAGCACCGGCUAACUCUGUGCCAGCCGCCGCCGUAA